rnacentral:misc_RNA from 1 species
UCUGACCUGAAAAUGAUUUUGAUAUGACAAGUAUUUCAAAGGGGGAAAAAAGCAGAGUAGAAAAUUCACCACUAUAUAAGCUAACAUUCAACAAGCCAAAACAGUAGAAUAAGUUGUGACCUUGUUUCAAAAGCAAAACAUGGCACAAAAUAAGUAAAGGUUUAUGCAAUUAAAUACAUCUGCAUAAAUGUCAUAUCUUUUGCAAUUAAAAAAAAAAAAAAAG